AUACGGAGGGUGCAAGCGUUAUCCGGAUUUAUUGGGUUUAAAGGGUGCGCAGGCGGACCUGUCAGUCAGUGGUGAAAUCCCGGGGCUCAACCCCGGAACUGCCAUUGAUACUACAGGUCUUGAAUACGGUUGAAGUAGGCGGAAUGUAGCAUGUAGCGGUGAAAUGCAUAGAUAUGCUACAGAACACCGAUCGCGAAGGCAGCUUACUAAGCCGAUAUUGACGCUCAGGCACGAAAGCGUGGGUAACGAACAGGAUUAGAAACCCUAGUAGUCC
rnacentral:rRNA from 1 species